GGCGGGCCUGGGAGGAAGUCUGCAGCCCUGGGCUGCCGAGGGUGUGGCGUCUGUGUUUGCACCUUUGGAAUGCAGCUGAUUCACUCUGGGGGGAGCCUUGUGCAGCCACCGCUGCCGCCUUGGAGCUGACAUCUGGCGGCUGAAUUCCAGGAGGAGAGAGACAGAUUCCUGCAAGCAGAUGCCAACUCUGAAGGUCAAACUAAGCUAUGGAGCUGCUUUAGGAGGAGGCCCAGAGUCCACCACAGCCCCACCCCAGGAUUCGGGGAGAGAGGGGAAGUGCCUCUCCUGCCAGCUCGUGCCCUGGGCUACGCUCGUUUCCACGGCCGCGGGUUCACUGCCUCUGUGCAGAGCUGACGUGGCCGUCCGUGGCCGCUACCAUGGGCCACUCAUCCGGGACCCGUGCGCUGUAAGCCUGGCUCUGUGUCACUUGUCCCAGGCUGCCAAGACCUUUCUGCCCAGUUCCCUUUUGGGUGUUGAACAUUUAAAAAUAUGUUUAUCUUGUCUCUUUUACAAUGUGAUAGACUCUUAGAAUUUGAAGGACAAAGUAAUGAGAACUGCAUUUUUUUUCUGAGCUCUUAACAAGUGCUUUAAAAAAAGGCUCAGUCUGUAAAGCCUCCGGCUUCGGCUCAGGUCAGAUCUCACGGUCGUGGGUUCGAGCCCUGCAUCAGGCUCUGUGCUGACAACUAGCUCAGAGCCUGGAGCCUGCUUCCGGUUCUGUGUCUCCUUCUCUCUCUGCCCCUCCCCCUCUCAUGCUCUGUCUCUCUCUG
ensembl:lncRNA